rnacentral:lncRNA from 1 species
GCUAUGCUACAGUGGCGACGAGCAAAGGAGACACCCACGCAGUCAAGCAGGAACCCGAAAUUAAGCAUUCCGUGACAACCGUACCGCUGACAACGAUGGCCUCCUACAUGCUUCCCAACUUCGACGACGCCACAGAUAAGUGGAAACCUUACCUCAUAAAAGUGGAGGCGUAUUUUGAAGCAAAUGCUAUUUCGGAUUCCGCUAAGAAGAGGGCACUUCUAGUAGCUGCACUUAGCACCUCGACGGUCCAAAUCCUGGUGGGGAGAAUAGCACCUGCAAAGCCCAAUGCCUUAAGUUAUGAUGAAGUAGUCAAGGUGCUAAAUGACCACUACGACCCAAGGCGCAACGAAAUUGCUGAAAGCUUCCAGUUUUUCAACCGCUGUCAGCAGGAGGGAGAAUCCAUUCAGGAUUUCGUCGUCGCGGUCAGACGCAUUGCAGACAAUUGUAAUUUCGGAGAUUCUCUGAACAGGCUACUUAGAGACCGAAUUGUCUGUGGUGUGCGUUCGGGUGCUGUGCAAAAGCAACUUCUGGCAAAGAAAGAUUUAACUCUGGAGGAAGCAGAGUCGAUAGCAAUGGCCGCGGAAACUGCCGAAAAAGACGCCAGGUCAAUGUCUGUAGACGUACCGCCUGUUCUUAAAAAGGAAAGCGACGAUUUGUUACCGCCAACGAACUGUGAUGUGCAUGUCCGCAACUACGGGUCCAAUGGUAAAUGGAUGCCAGGACGGGUAACAGCUACA